rnacentral:tRNA from 1 species
UCCCUGGUGGUCCAGUGGUUAAGACUCUGUACUUCCAAUAUAGGGGGCACAGAUUCGAUCCCUGGCCGGGGGC